rnacentral:rRNA from 1 species
UGAGCAACCUGCCCUUGACCCUGGAAUAACAGCUGGAAACAGCUGCUAAUACCGGAUACGACCUCCGAUGGCAUCAUCUGGAGGUGGAAAGCUCCGACGGUCAAGGAUGGGCUCGCGGCCUAUCAGCUUGUUGGUGAGGUAACGGCUCACCAAGGCUUCGACGGGUAGCCGGCCUGAGAGGGCGACCGGCCACACUGGGACUGAGAUACGGCCCAGACUCCGUAGGGA